AUGAGUAGGAGUUGGGGUAAGAAGGGAUGAGUAGGGGUCAAGGUAGAGAAGGAUGGUAGGGGUCCAGGAAUAGAGGAAUGAGUAGGAGUUGGGGUUAGAAGGGAUGAGUAGGGGUCAAGGUAGAGAAGGAUGGUAGGGGUCCAGGAAUGGAGGGAUGAGUAGGGAUCGAGGUAAGGAGGGAUGAUUUAAUCUAAUAAAACCUCCAGGUUAAUGAAAACAGACUAGUUUCCCUGCUCUGUGUAGAAACAGCAGAGGUAGGACUAAAGAGCUGGGCAGACCAAACCAGUUUGAAGAUAUCAGCACCACACAUCCCUGAUUGUCACCAAGAGGUGUUGAUUUGUCGACAGCAAGGCCGACAAGAAAGGCUGCAAACCACAACCACAGCACUGCCAGGAUCACCACGAUGGUGUGGAACGCCUUCUGCUUUGAUUGAUCGACCCUGUCCCUGUUCCCGCCCACUUCCCCCGGCCCUGGACGAAUCAGAACACAGAGAACACGAAGGCUGCAGAAAGAGACGAUUAUUAAAGAGAUGAUGAAGAGGCAGAAGAAAACACUUUCUGAAAUUAAAUUGAUCCACAGACUUAUCAGUCCACUCCAUGAGAGGGAGAAGAGCCAAACACACACUGUGCUGAUGUUCCUGAUCCUGACCCCACCAGACUGCCUCAGCUUCAGGUACAUGACAGGGUGAAUAACAGCCAGGUAUCUCUCCACACAGGUCAAACAGUGAAAGCAUACCUGUCCAGGCACAACGAUAGUGCACAUAUACGUCCCUACUAUCACCAUCCAGUAAGUGCUACUGAAUCUGCCGCAUGUGUAGACGACGGCCCCCAGCGCAGAGAUCAUCUCCAGAGCAACCGUGUGGAAGGUGAAGAUAUCUGAGUGGCUUGUUGUUGCAAAGGAGCGCUGCUGCAGCCAUUGUCGGUGACCCAGAUGGAGGACGAAGAUGCUGAGAGGGAGGAGGAGGAGGGUCCUGGUGAUGAUGUAGGCAGUGGAGAUGUAAAGUCCCUCCAGAGACUCUGCACAGUGGAUCUCAAAGUAGGAGGAGGAAGAGGAAGAGGAGUUGCUUGACAUGUUGGGUUUGUGUGUUAAAGCUUGUAUAGAGAAAAGAGAGGAAUAAUUAUAUUAUCAACAUGGAAUGGCACCUUUCAUUUUUCCAAGCAAGGCAUUAUUAGAACACUCAAGAACUGCAUUGUUGUUUAUAUUUUGCUUCAUAUUGUGUGUUAUAUUUUAGAUUCUGCUUCAUGUUAUUUAUGUGUCAUUGUUGCACACUGUGGUUAGUGAUCCCUGUGAAAGCUUUUAUCAUUCUGCUGUGUGCAUUUCAAAAAGACAAAGUGUCAUUCGGUUUGAUUUGAGAAAUAAAGUCAGAAAUUUCAGAUUCA